UCCUACGGGACGCAGCAGUGAGGAAUACUGGUCAAUGGACGAGAGUCUGAACCAGCCAAGUAGCGUGAAGGAUGACUGCCCUAUGGGUUGUAAACCUCUUUUGCCGGGGAGCAAAGUGCCGCACGUGUGCGGUUUGGAGAGUACCCGGAGAAAAAGCAUCGGCUAACUCCGUGCCAGCAGCCGCGGUAAUACGGAGGAUGCGAGCGUUAUCCGGAUUUAUUGGGUUUAAAGGGUGCGUAGGCGGACGCUUAAGUCAGCGGUAAAAUUGCGGGGCUCAACCUCGUCGAGCCGUUGAAACUGGGUGC
rnacentral:rRNA from 1 species